ensembl:lncRNA
CUGGGAGUGUCUAUCUAGCAUUGUCCAGGAGUUCAUAUGGCUUGGGGUAAGCACCAGAGCUGAGAGUUCUGAAGACUUGAUCAGGUCUGGAGCCCCAGCUCUGGGUGGAGGGAUGGGGAGGCUCAGCGGGCUCCAAAGAAGCUUGCUGGCUCAGGAGGCAUGGCCUCUGCUCAGCAGCUGAGGCAGAGCAGCUGGUAACUGAUGGGAGAAGUGGCUCUAGCCCUCAAGACUGCUGUACAUUUUAACUCAAACCACCCAGAUCAUCAGAGGAUUGCUUGGAUUAUGAGCUCACAAAAACAUGUUGCUUCUGAAUGACUGGAGUGCCUUUCUCUCCAGCAUUUGUGGCUGCAAGUAAUGGAAAGGAGAAUUCUUUUUCUCCAUCAGCAACCAAACCCAGAUCUGUGAUGAUAUGCCUCAAUACUGAAUGUUGUACCCAAUGACUGUUUCCUAUAAGCAAGCAAAAGAGAUGGUGGAUUCAGGACUUCCCUCUUCAGACAAAUUCCCCAAAAUCGCUAGGAUGAAGUUAAACUUCCUCUCGGGUUUCCUCUGUGUUGUACUGAACUGCAACUUGGCUGCAGCUACCUGGAUAACUUAAAGAUGAUCUAAGGCCUAUCUUCAGUGAGCAAGUGGAGAUACCUCCUGGGGAGGACAGUCCUGCUGGAACACCUGAAACCUUGUGGGUUGAAAAGACUGUUUGAGAUGUGCUCUAAACAAGGGCAGCUGUAGGAAUAGGGUAUGAACCACAAGAAGAAAUCGGUGGUAUGUUCCCUUUGCUAUUUAGAGAAAAAUCCAGGUUUUGUAUUGUGUCAGAUGGCAGGAUGUAACCCCAUUGUUCCUCUUAUUUCAUUAACUACUUCCCUGGCCCAACUUUGUUUUCAUUUGUGUCCUGCAAUCAUUGCAGCUGCAGACUAGUGUUAACUGAUAUGGUUGUAAGCAUGGCACUCUGGACUCCGUGCACCAAUGGAUGGACUUCUGCUAUCUUUUGAAGCCUACUUAUGGCCUUCACUGCAGAACUCCCUGGGCAGGUUAUUUUUUGCUCAGUCUGAGGUUAAAGGGGACCAUCAGGUUGGCUAAUUACAGAGAUAAUGCCUUACAAGCAAAAGCCUGCCCUUGUCCUGGGUAGAUCAAUCAGCUGAAUGUAGACAUGAGAGCCAGGCAGAGCAGCUUCCACCACUAUGUGCAGCAGCAACUACUGCUUCAGGGUACCUUCACCCCUAAAUGGAGAGUACAGGAUGCUUUCACCCAGGCCUGUCCGAGGCUGGCUGAUGUUUGAGGUUUGACCUGUGGCAGAGUUAUGAUUUGUCAGCUGUGGAAAUGUGAGCCCUUUUUGAGAACUUGGCUACCAGUGGAACAAGCUUCACAAGGGUCUGCUGUCUUCAGGUACAUCUGAAUUGAACCAAUCAUGCAGAGCUUUCCUGAUUUUGAUUUCUACUGGUAUGGAAGAUCCCACAUGUCAGAGUAAUGAACCAGGAAUUCAAAUCUGGUUGGAAUGCCCUAAAUGUUUUUUGAAGGAGGGGCUUGUAUGCAAGUGUGGGUCUGCAUCCCCACUCUAUUUCUGCUCAAGGAGUGGUCCACAGCUGAGGUUGAUGACACCUUUGCCAUGAUAUUUCUGGUGGGGAGGCAUCCAUGACUGAGGCUACCCAGCUAUCUGUGGGAGGGAGGCAUGCAUUUCUGAGGCAGCCCUGCUACUCUCCCACGACAUGGACUGGAGGAGGGUUCCAUACUUGAGAGCAGCUCCAUAGCCUGGGACAAAUUGCCCAAGCCCAUGUGGAACAGCACCUUCUCUUUGCAACUGCUUGAAGACUGUCUGGCAUCCUUAAUACGUGGCAUGGUGAAUUAGUGAGGAGCAGCAGACAAUAAGGGAGGGUGUAGCUUCUUCACUCUUGUGGUCUUUCUGAAGGCAGCUAGAUGUGCCUUUCCUCAGUGUGGCAGCACAGUUAUCUCUGUAUAGAUGGGUGCGUGUUCUUCCUGGUGCCUGGCAUCAGUCAGUGGAUGAGUAGGCAUGUUGUGGGGUCAUGUAGGCAGAUUCAGGUGUGGGAUGGGUCUCAGCCAGCUGCUCACAACAUUUCUGCAGGAGCUCUGGGGUGGGAAGCCCAGGGUCACAAUUGUUUGUGCUACAGAUGGAGUGAGAGACGCUGCUGCUGAGAAGCCUCAGAUCCUCUGAGAGAAACGUGCUGUGUUUUUUAUCACCCUGUUUGUAAUGCAUCCCAAUGCUUUCUACUCUGUAGUUCUUUCUUUCCAGCAUGCUCCUUUAUAUGACAUUUCUUCUCUCAUGACACCUUCUAAAUGCCCAUGGUGGGAGCAGAAUGAACACAAGGACCAGUUUUAUGUAGACAUGGACAAGUGUGUGCUUGCAAGCUGCACAUCGUUUUCUCACCAGUGAUACAAGAAACUCCUCAGCAGCAGCAAGAGCUUCAGCUGUGCCAGCAGAGUUGCUUGAGUACCCACUGCCCAUGACUGCGUAUGGUAUAUGUUGAAAAGCCAGGCUUGAGCAUGGCUGUGCUUACUGUUGCUCAGCUUCUCACUCCCCCGCAAAGGAUGUGGGCUGUGCCUAAUUUUAGAUCUGGUAAUGAAACACUG